rnacentral:tRNA from 1 species
GGUUAGGUAGUUUAAUGGUAAAACGGGCGACCUGAAAUCGCCAAAUGAUGGUUCAAAUCCAUCCCUAACCCUA